GCUGCUCUGGCAGCCCGUUAGGAGAAGCAGGCGGCGAGCUUUCGCGUGCGAACGACAGGGGAGCCACCGUCCGGGGCAGCGGCCAAGAGGGGCCACCGGCUUGCCUCCGCUGCUGGCCGGCGCGCGUGUUUCUCUCCCUUCGGCUUACAGCAUCCGCCGGAGCUUCUCCUCUCUCCGCCUACGCGGUGCGAGUGUGCCGUGUGCGCCAGUGCGCCCGCAAGCCCGCAAGUUCGCGCUCCGCCACGCAGCCCAAGCUCUCUCUAGCCGCGCGCUGAUCGGCCACGUUCGUCAGCCGGGCCCCACGCAAAAAGGCAGCGGGGCCGCGCGCGAGCCGACUGGACACACACGACGGACGAUUUCUUACCGUGAUACAAGAAGACGCUGUUAACACGCACGAACGAACGAACGUACGAACGGGCCGGGCCGGUCUUUGGCGAGCAGCGCGUCAAGGCAAACAGUCUCAAGGAAACGAUCAUUCUUACACGUACUCUUAUUAACAUUCUCGCUCGCCGCUCGAGGAAACAGUUCGACGACGUGGUUGUGACACGUAACACGAGUGAAACACUCGAAACACGCGCGCUCCGACCGAACCUCACCACGAGACCGCAACGAAGAAACGGGCAGUGACUGUGAGGAAACGAACAGGAUAUCACGGACCUCUAUCCAGUGCGCUGUUUUCGUUUGUGAAUCACCGUUUACGCACGUCAUCGAACACGUCUUCUUGGGAUCGCCGCGAUCGCACAGAUUGACGAAUGACGACGUAACAGAGAGCUGGCUGGUGCGCGGAUACCGGGACACAAGAGGGGACAGCAUCUUUCAAAUCGCCACGGCAACGUUCAUCACGGAUAAGGAGAACCACGGGAAGGAAAAUCGAGACGAGGGAGCGAGGGGCACCUAGCCCUUUGGCGAGGUCGAAGGAUGCAGCUCCCAGGCGGGAGCACGAGAAUUCCGCCCGCGAGAACACCGGCCUCGGUUCUCGUGAUCAUCAGCCUAAGCAACAUCGUAUCGACUGUGACGAAGAAACGCAACGGCAACGGUAGAAACAGCAGCGACAACGGCGGACCCCGUACAAAUAGCAAUAGAGACUUAAGGAAAAGCGAUAGCCAGAGAAAGGGUGCCGAGAACGAGCCGCGUCUCCCGAAAAGAAAUCGCGAUCCCGAGACGAGGACGAGCAGCCGCCGACACCGAGUCACCGAGAAGCCCCAGCUGUUGGCGUCAGCCCCAAGGCGGAAGGAGCGGUGCGAGGAAUAGUGAAGAGAAAGUAGUGAAAAAGCGUGGAACGACGGAAGAAGAGGAAGAGGAGCCGUGAGAGAAGGAGAAAAAGGUGAA